UCCGGUUGAUCCUGCCAGAGGUCACUGCUAUCGGGGUUCGAUUAAGCCAUGCGAGUCGAGAGGGUUCGGCCCUCGGCGUACUGCUCAGUAACACGUGGAUAACCUGCCCUAAGGAAGGGGAUAACCCCGGGAAACUGGGGAUAAUACCCUAUAGGUUACAGAUGCUGGAAUGCUUUGUAACCCAAAGUUCCGACGCCUUAGGAUGGAUCUGCGGCCGAUUAGGUUGUUGUCGGAGUAACGGCCCAACAAGCCAGUAAUCGGUACGGGUUGUGGGAGCAAGAGCCCGGAGUUGGAUUCUGAGACACGAAUCCAGGCCCUACGGGGCGCAGCAGGCGCGAAAACUUUACAAUGCGGGCAACCGUGAUAAGGGAACCUCGAGUGCCUGUAUAUGCAGGCUGUCCAGGUGUCUAAAACACACCUGAAGAAAGGGCCGGGCAAGACCGGUGCCAGCCGCCGCGGUAAUACCGGCGGCUCGAGUGGUGGCCACUUUUAUUGGGCUUAAAGCGUUCGUAGCUGGGUUGUUAAGUCUCUUGGGAAAUCUGACGGCUUAACCGUCAGGCGUCUAAGAGAUACUGGCAAUCUUGGAACCGGGAGAGGUGAGGGGUACUUCGGGGGUAGGAGUGAAAUCCUGUAAUCCUCGAGGGACCACCUGUGGCGAAGGCGCCUCACCAGAACGGCUUCGACAGUGAGGGACGAAAGCUGGGGGAGCAAACCGGAUUAGAUACCCGGGUAGUCCCAGCCGUAACGAUGUGCGUUAGGUGUAUCGGUGACCACGAGUCACCGAGGUGCGAAGGGAAACCGUGAACGUACCGCCUGGGAAGUACGGUCGCAAGGCUGAACUUAAAGGAAUUGGCGGGGGAGCACCACAACAGGUGGAGCUGCGGUUUAAUUGGACUCAACGCCGGAAAUCUCACCGGAUAAGACAGCGGAAUGAUUGCCGGGCUGAAGACUCUGCAUGACUAGCUGAGAGGAGGUGCAUGGCCGUCGUCAGUUCGUACUGUGAAGCAUCCUGUUAAGUCAGGCAACGAGCGAGACCCACGCCAACAGUUGCCAGCAUGGCCUCCGGGCUGAUGGGGACACUGUUGGGACCGCCUCUGCUAAAGAGGAGGAAGGAAUGGGCAACGGUAGGUCAGCAUGCCCCGAAUUAUCCGGGCUACACGCGGGCUACAAUGGACGGGACAAUGGGUAACAACACCGAAAGGUGCAGUCAAUCUCCGAACCCCGCCCUUAGUUAGGAUUGCGGGUUGCAACUCACCCGCAUGAAUCUGGAAUCUGUAGUAAUCGCGUUUCACUAUAGCGCGGUGAAUACGUCCCUGCUCCUUGCACACACCGCCCGUCCAACCAUCCUAGUGGGGUUUGGAUGAGUCCCUGGUCUUUGCCGGGGUCGAAUCUAGGUUCCGUGAGGAGGGUUAAGUCGUAACAAGGUAACC
rnacentral:rRNA from 1 species